GUUUGCGACUAAAUAACACGGUAUAUAAUUAAGUAGGGGACUGAUCAAUUAACAAGUGAUUUGCCAGAAAACAAAUCAUUAGAUAAUUUAAAAAUCACGACUGGUUCUAAGAAAAUAUUGAUCCUGACAUAAAUGAUACAGAAACUAUUAAUAAUGUAAAAUGAUCAGAUACAAAAGUAUACACUCGAGAAGCGUCGUGACGGAUUCUUGGUUCAUUUGCAAUCUGCUGUCAAUAUAGAAGACAUAUUGACAUGAACAAACCGAAAAAGACAGAGUUUGCAACAUCAACCAGAGGCACUUAUUGUCGGACCACUAACGCAACCUGCUGCAUCUUACAUUGUUUUUGAAGAUACUCUCUAUUCUGCAGAGUCGUGUCUAUGAGCUGUUGAUUUAACUUUGAUAAUCUGUUUAAUUACAUAUUAUA